CUAUCCAGGACUGUGAAUGUUUAUAAUCCAAUGUUUAGCAACUAGCAAUCUUUUUGUUAUCUUCUUUUCCUACAGAAGAGUCGGUGAGCAACCCCCCAGCCUGGGACCUCCCCACUGUUCCAGAGUCGCUCUUGUCCACAGUGGGCGACCAUGACGUCACCCUUCCUGCAAACAUCACCAGCCCAUUCUCCACCUACCAGUGGAACACCACAGCACAUGCACACACCAGAAACACCUCCAGACACACAACCGUGUCAACUAGCACCACGACCCUACAGACGUCCCUAUCACCCACCACCAUUGUCUCUACUGUACCACUGUCCACCACAGUAAAAGCACAGACGCCUCAAGAGUCCACCAUAGCUGUACAGCCCAUCAGCCAGCACACGGCCAUCGGUGAGAGCCUCCACCUGACAACAGUUGCUACAACACUGCCCUCGACCACCGCCGUGGCUGUUGCUGAUGUGACGUCACAGGUCCAAACUAAUUCAAGCACUGCAGAACCAAUGAACACAGCUGCUGAUAAAACUACGCAGCAAACAACAACAACCACUGGAAUCACGACCACAAUCCCACCUCAAACCACUGCGACUACGACAACCACGCCUGCUCCAACCACAAUCACCUCUACGACUGCACCUCCAACCACUACAACCGCCACCACUACUACCACCCCUGCACCUACAACCACCACAACCGCUCCCACAACUACCACAGCUCCCACCACUACCACUACAACAACAACUACUACUACUACUGCCACUUCUACUACUACCACCUCUACCACAAUGAUACCUCCAACCACCGUGUUCACCCCCCUCCAAACGACACCCCCGCCCACAACAACCACCAUGCUACCCUCAUCUCUUACCAUCACAGAGCCCAGUCCUCUACCCUGCAAUGUGACUGAGAAGUUCUGGGUUCGAACAGUUUUGUCUAUUGAGAUGCGCAGGAACCGUUUGGACUUGAUCCUUAAACAGAACCUUUCCAAAGGACUGAGCCAUGCCCUGCAGAGAGCGCUCAAUGACUCCAAUGCAAAUGCACAGGUAAAUGUGAAUAUAAACACACCUGGUGAAUUAGCAGGGUUUAGUGAAUGCAGUUGGUUUUAAAUAAGAUAGUUGCAUUAAAU
rnacentral:lncRNA from 1 species